AACGAACGCUGGCGGCAGGCUUAACACAUGCAAGUCGAACGCGUGUAGCAAUACACGAGUGGCGCACGGGUGAGUAACACGUGGAUAUCUGCCCUUUGGUUCGGAAUAACCCUGGGAAACUAGGGCUAAUACCGAAUGGUUCCUACGGGAUAAAGAUUUAUCGCCAAAAGAUGAGUCCGCGUCCGAUUAGCUAGUUGGUGAGGUAACGGCUCACCAAGGCGACGAUCGGUAGCNGGUCUGAGAGGACGAUCAGCCACACUGGGACUGAGACACGGCCCAGACUCCUACGGGAGGCAGCAGUGGGGAAUAUUGGACAAUGGGGGCGAACCCU
rnacentral:rRNA from 1 species